GCCUUAUGGGGCCCUCACACACACACAUUUCUAGCCUAGGCCUUAUGGGGCCCUCCCCUCAAAUGAAUGAAUUCACAGUUAAGCUCAGACACACACAUUUCCAGUCUAGGUCUUAUGGGGCCCUUACACACACACAUUUCCAGUCUAGGUCUUAUGGGGCCCUCACGUAUGGAUCUCACUCUUAGUGAUUUUACAUCAUUGGAACAACAUCUGUCAAUAUUUAAACUAGUGUAAUUGCUGGUGUAAUUCAACACUGGUCAAGCUGCUGCAUGUUCAGAAUGAGUAUUUUGGAUGUACUGCAUUGCAACAUCUUAUUUGUUGCUCUGACACUUGCUGUUACCUCUAGAAAAGACAAGUGUAUGCUCUUAUAUUUCAGCUGUGCUAGAUGAGAAAUGUUUUCACAUGAGCUAACUUUUGUAACCUUUGGUUUCUGUUGUUUUUUGUCUGAUUUCCAGGAGCCAAAGCAGUUAUUUACCAUCAAAGGGUUUUCCCUAGUGAACUAUACCGAAAGUGAUGAGACGGAUGAGGAGUAUAUUAAAGACAACCCUCCCAGUCCACACUGUGAUGUUGUUCGAAAGAAGACGAGGAAUGGAAACAUUUCAGGUAUGCCUCAGAUACUGUACUUGAAAAUAUUGCUGUUUCUAUAAAUGGUUCAAACGUCCUUCCCCUGUUACUAAUUUUAAUAGAAUGUAAGCCAAAAUGUAUUACAUAUCUUGAAAUUGAAAAGCCUUUUUUGCAGGUGGCUGGAGUAGCUGAUUUUUCUGAUCCUCUGUUUGACUCAUAUGAGAGUAUAGUAGAUGAAACUGAUGAGGAUUCUAGUCUGCAGUCAGACAAUGAAGUUGUUCCAAAAAAAUGUUUGGUAUGUCUCUGUGUACAUUUCUACCAAAAAAAUUCCCCUGUAUAAGAUUUCCAUAGAAUGUGAACAAAAAUGCAUAAUCAUACAUGAUACAAUUCCCUUUUUGCAGAUGGAUAGAGUACCACAUUUUUCUGUUCCUCUUAAUGAGUCAAGUGAUGACAGCAUAGAUGAGCCUUCCACUUCUAUGUCUGGAAUGGCUUCACAAUGGCCGAGGAGAAACUGUCACCGUCCUAUUCAAAGGAGUCUUGUAGAAUCCGAUGACUCCUGUUUGUCACACACCUGGACUCAUUUAAUGUGUUUUUGCCCGUGACCCAGUUUCUGUCUUUCCGUGUUUGAUUAGUUCCCAGGUGUGUCCAUUAUCUUCCUCAUGUGUUCCAUGUCCCUGUUAAUUUAAUGAUUCCAUCCACCUGUGUUUCCCCAAUUAUCUGUUGUUCAUAAGCCAUGUCCCUUCAGUUCUGUUUUGUCGGGUCUUCUCACUUGUGCUCACUUGAUCAUCAUUUGCUACUUACGUGUGUCUACCUCUGUGCUCCAUGUUGGAUAUCCCCUGUGUUGGAUAUAUUAAAAACCUUAUUCCGUUUAUCCUCGACUCCGUAUUCCUUCAGGCAGCGUAAUACCGUGACAGAAGACCCGACCUAAUAAGAGAAAAUAGAAAACUGCGUGUUCUUCCCUCCGUUUUGUUUUUGGGUUUUCAAAGUCU
ensembl:lncRNA